rnacentral:rRNA from 1 species
GUCGAGCGGCAGCACGGGUACUUGUACCUGGUGGCGAGCGGCGGACGGGUGAGUAAUGCCUAGGAAUCUGCCUAGUAGUGGGGGAUAACGUCCGGAAACGGGCGCUAAUACCGCAUACGUCCUACGGGAGAAAGUGGGGGAUCUUCGGACCUCACGCUAUUAGAUGAGCCUAGGUCGGAUUAGCUAGUUGGUGAGGUAAUGGCUCACCAAGGCUACGAUCCGUAACUGGUCUGAGAGGAUGAUCAGUCACACUGGAACUGAGACACGGUCCAGACUCCUACGGGAGGCAGCAGUGGGGAAUAUUGGACAAUGGGCGAAAGCCUGAUCCAGCCAUGCCGCGUGUGUGAAGAAGGUCUUCGGAUUGUAAAGCACUUUAAGUUGGGAGGAAGGGCAGUUACCUAAUACGUGAUUGUUUUGACGUUACCGACAGAAUAAGCACCGGCUAACUCUGUGCCAGCAGCCGCGGUAAUACAGAGGGUGCAAGCGUUAAUCGGAAUUACUGGGCGUAAAGCGCGCGUAGGUGGUUUGUUAAGUUGAAUGUGAAAGCCCCGGGCUCAACCUGGGAACUGCAUCCAAAACUGGCAAGCUAGAGUAUGGUAGAGGGUGGUGGAAUUUCCUGUGUAGCGGUGAAAUGCGUAGAUAUAGGAAGGAACCACCAGUGCGAAGGCGACCACCUGGACUGAUACUGAC